GAUGAACGCUGGCGGCGUGCCUAAUACAUGCAAGUCGAGCGGAGCGGGGACGGGUGAGUAACACGUGGCUACCCUCCGAUAGGGCUAGGAUAACUUCGGGAAACCUGAGCUAAACCCGAUACUUGUACGUGGAUCCGCGCUGCAUUAGCUAGUUGGUAAGGUAACGGCUUACCAAGGCAACGAUGCAUAGACGACCUGAGAGGGUGAUCGGCCACACUGGAACUGAGACACGGUCCAGACUCCUACGGGAGGCAGCAGUAGGGAAUAUUGCGCAAUGGGCGAAAGCCUGACGGAGCAACGCCGCGUGAGUGAUGAAGGUCUUCGGAUCGUAAAACUCUGUUAGUAGGGAAGCGGUACCUACUCAGAAAGCAACGGCUAACUACGUGCCAGCAGCCGCGGUAAUAC
rnacentral:rRNA from 1 species